GGGAGUUGAGUAGUUUUGCAGACCACUGUAAGUCUCUCUUUAUAAAACCUUUAAAGAUUGCCUCGUGAUAUAAUGGAAAGGAAGACUUCCCAGCCCUGUGACCUUAGACAAGUCAUUCGCCUCUCUGACUCCCUACUUUCCUCUUCUGGAAAAUGGUGCUUUAGAUAGGCGUCCCCGACUCCUCACCUCCUGUCUCUAGCUGCCUGCCCAUCAAGGCUUCCGAGCCCUCUGGUUGACCAGGUGCCUCUGUGGUUCAGAGCUCUGGGAGCCUGGGCCACUCCUGACCCCUCCAGGAGAGUGGCCAGCCGUCUUGUGGCGGCCGCUUUCCAGACCUCUUUUCAUGUCCCUUGCUUCUAAGGUGUGAAUGGAAAGGCCAGCUGGAUCGAGGAUGCGUCAGAGGAAUCACCUUGGAGAGAGAGCCAGGCUCCGGUUGAGGCUCAGGGCAGGCACUCGCUUCCCGCCCCGCUCCCCAGCAGGGGGUCGGCCGUCCGGGAAUGGCAAACGGCAAAAUUGAAACUUGGCAAGUCUCUUAUCAGUCCAGGUGCAUUUGGCUGCUACUGGGACGUUAGAUCUGAAGCUAGGAAAACACUUCACCCGCCCCGCCCGGCCCCCGUCCUGCCCGUCGUCCUCUAAUUCAGAUGCUUUCCUGCUCCAAAGAGCGAACCAGCUCCGCCUGGUUUGUUUGCGGGAGCUCCCGCUGCCUUCUGGAGUGAGCGCGUGUUUUCCAAAACACCCUGGAAUUUACCUUGGCAAAACAGGCGCACCAUGUGGGAUCUAUUCCUUUGUGGAUAUUCAACGAGUUUAACCACUUUGUAUCCCUCAUGUUAUAGAGAAUCAAUGAUAAUACAGUUUUUCUGGUCACAUCCCAACUGAAAUACUUCUUGGUAGAAUUCAGAUCUUUCUUUUUCACGUGCACCUGCUUUUAUCCAUUCAGGUUUCUCUAGGUGUGAAUUCAGAUUGAGCAAAAAGUCUCCUCUGAGACUGCCCAGGGCUUGGGAAGUGCAAAAAAGGGAAAAAGAGGUAAGAAAGAAGUAAAUUUGAACCCAAAGAAUGUUUUUCAGAUUCACAUAAAGAGCCAAUCUCUAGUUUAUAAGUAUCAGAGCAUCAAGCAAAUUUAAGAAGAAAUCCCAAGUAGAUUCCCCGCCACCU
rnacentral:lncRNA from 1 species